rnacentral:misc_RNA from 1 species
AUGCCCAUCCAUAUUGCAGUAAUUGCAAUGUCCUUCUUAGGAUCAUUUUUCUUCUGUUCUUUCUUAAUACCUUGCCCCUUAGAAAACAAAGCCACCUAACCAGUUAAUUCAGAAAAAUUAGAUGCAAUUUGUUUGUGAGCUUCAAACUUUAUAAUUGUCGAGUAAGCCUUGCUUAUUGAUGGAAGAGGAUCUGUCAACAAAAUCUGAUUCCUUGCCUGUUCAAAACUCUCAUCAAGUCCCAUGAGAAACUGCAUCAAUUUGUUCCUAUCAGUUAUAUCCACAAGUUCUUUUGCAGCACCACCACUACAUGCAGUCAAGCACUCAAUCGACGUAAGCUCAUCCCAAAGCUUUUUUAAUCUUGUAAAAUAUUCAGCCACUGAUCCAUUUCCUUGACUAAUUGAACUUAUUUUCCUUUGAAUCUGGUAAAUCAAAGGUCCAUUAUUCUCUCCAUACCUCUCAGCUAUUUCAUUCCACAAUUCCCUAGCUGAAGCAGUGUAUAUGAAUGCCUCUACCAACUCCUUAGACAUAGAGUUCAAGACCCAGGAUGUAACCAUGUAGUCACAUUGUUUCCACUUCUCAUGACCCUUAGAUCCUUCUUCUAGUUCCAGAAUAGAACCAUCCACAAACCCUAACUUCUGUUUGGCUCCCAAUGCUAUUUUCAUAGCAUGACACCAAGAUCGAAAAUUACUCCCUAUUAAAGGUGCCGAAACUAGAAUCAUACUUGGAUGGUCGGACCCUAGCAAAGUCAUUGGAUCUCCGCUACCCUGAUUCCAAGUAGCUUCGCGUUCUACCGUCGCAGAAUUUCGAUCUCGAUUAACAACUUCUUCAUCCAUUUCCUCAACUCAAUCUUCCAGCUUCUUUGGAUUCGCUCAAAGAAACAAACCCUAGAAUUGAACAGGCUCUGAUACCAUGAACAAACUUGCUUAGAAAGAAUUGAGAAAAAUGGUAACUGCUAUAUUCUCAUCUGAAAACAGAAUACAGAGUCUGUGUCUUUAUAUACAAGUCUAGCACACAUGCUGCGCAUGUGAAAGGAAAAGAGAAAAGAGAAAAAAUAAGUUACAACAGCUGUGGGACAACUUAUAUGACAAGCCACCUAUUUUAAUCCAGCUCAGCAGUUUUCUACAUCCCCCCCUCAAGUUGGAUCAUGUGGAAGUGACACAAGAGACAACUUGGAAACAAACUGACUAUGGAGCUCAGGGGUUAGAGGCUUGGUAAAAAUAUCUGCCAACUGUAAUUGUGAAGAGACAUAAGAUGGAGCAAUAAAACCUUUCUUCAAUUGUUCCCUAACAAUAUGACAGUCUAUGUCAAUAUGUUUAGUCCUCUCAUGG